UAGGGUUAGGGUUGGGCUUGGAGCUAGGACUUUUCUGAGUGCAAUGAACCAACUCCCGAGUCUCUAGGACGUUCCCUAAAAAAAUUUUAUUUUUUCCCAUAGGAAUGCAAGGGGAUAGGGUUAGGGUUAGGGUUGGAGCUAGGGUUAGGGUUAGGGUUAGGGUUGGAGUUAGGGUUAGUGUUGGAGCUAGGGUUAGGGUUGGGCUUGGAGCUAGGAUUUUUCUGAGUGCACUGAACCAACUCCCGAGUCUCUAGGACAUUCCUAAAAAAAUUUGAUUUUUUCCCAUAGGAAUGCAUGGGUUAGGGUUAUGGUUAGGGUUAGGGUUGGAGCUAGGGUUAGGGUUAGGGUUAGGGUUGGAGUUAGGGUUAGUGUUGGAGCUAGGGUUAGGGUUGGGCUUGGAGCUAGGAUUUUUCUGAGUGCACUGAACCAACUCCCGAGUCUCUAGGACAUUCCUAAAAAAAAUUGAUUUUUUUCCCAUAGGAAUGCAUGGUUUAGGGUUAUGGUUAGGGUUAGGGUUGGAGCUAGGGUUAGGGUUAGGGUUAGAGUUGGAGUUAGGGUUAGUGUUGGAGCUAGGGUUAGGGUUGGGCUUGGAGCUAGGAUUUUUCUGAGUGCACUGAACCAACUCCCGAGUCUCUAGGACGUUCCUAAAAAAAUUUGAUUUUUUCCCAUAGGAAUGCAUGGGUUAGGGUUAGGGUUAGGGUUGGAGCUAGGGUUAGGGUUAGGGUUAGGGUUGGAGUUAGGGUUAGUGUUGGAGCUAGGGUUAGGGUUGGGCUUGGAGCUAGGAUUUUUCUGAGUGCACUGAACCAACUCCCGAGUCUCUUGGACGUUCCUAAAAAAAUUUGAUUUUUUCCCAUAGGAAUGCAUGGGUUAGGGUUAUGGUUAGGGUUAGGGUUGGAGCUAGGGUUAGGGUUAGGGUUAGGGUUGGAGUUAGGGUUAGUGUUGGAGCUAGGGUUAGGGUUGGGCUUGGAGCUAGGACUUUUCUGAGUGCAAUGAACCAACUCCCGAGUCUCUAGGACGUUCCCUAAAAAAAAUUGAUUUUUUCCCAUAGGAAUGCAUGGGUUAGGGUUAUGGUUAGGGUUAGGGUUGGAGCUAGGGUUAGGGUUAGGGUUAGGGUUGGAGUUAGGGUUAGUGUUGGAGCUAGGGUUAGGGUUGGGCUUGGAGCUAGGAUUUUUCUGAGUGCACUGAACCAACUCCCGAGUCUCUAGGACAUUCCUAAAAAAAUUUGAUUUUUUCCCAUAGGAAUGCAUGGGUUAGGGUUAGGGUUAGGGUUAGGGUUGGAGCUAGGGUUAGGGUUAGGGUUAGGGUUGGAGUUAGGGUUAGUGUUGGAGCUAGGGUUAGGGUUGGGCUUGGAGCUAGGAUUUUUCUGAGUGCACUGAACCAACUCCCGAGUCUCUAGGACAUUCCUAAAAAAUUUUUAUUUUUUCCCAUAGGAAUGCAUGGGUUAGGGUUAGGGUUAGGGUUGGAGCUAGGGUUAGGGUUAGGGUUAGGGUUGGAGUUAGGGUUAGUGUUGGAGCUAGGGUUAGGGUUGGGCUUGGAGCUAGGAUUUUUCUGAGUGCACUGAACCAACUCCCGAGUCUCUAGGACAUUCCUAAAAAAUUUGAUUUUUUCCCAUAGGAAUGCAUGGGUUAGGGUUAUGGUUAGGGUUAGGGUUGGAGCUAGGGUUAGGGUUAGGGUUAGGGUUGGAGUUAGGGUUAGUGUUGGAGCUAGGGUUAGGGUUGGGCUUGGAGCUAGGAUUUUUCUGAGUGCAAUGAACCAACUCCCAAGUCUCUUGGACGUUCCUAAAAAAAUUUGAUUUUUUCCCAUAGGAAUGCAUGGGUUAGGGUUAGGGUUAGGGUUGGAGCUAGGGUUAGGGUUAGGGUUGGAGUUAGGGUUAGUGUUGGAGCUAGGGUUAGGGUUGGGCUUGGAGCUAGGAUUUUUCUGAGUGCACUGAACCAACUCCCGAGUCUCUAAGAUGUUCCUAAAAAAAUUUGAUUUUUUCCCAUAGGAAUGCAUGGGUUAGGGUUAGGGUUAGGGUUGGAGCUAGGGUUAGGGUUAGGGUUAGGGUUGGAGUUAGGGUUAGUGUUGGAGCUAGGGUUAGGGUUGGGCUUGGAGCUAGGAUUUUUCUGAGUGCACUGAACCAACUCCCGAGUCUCUAGGACAUUCCUAAAAAAAUUUGAUUUUUUCCCAUAGGAAUGCAUGGGUUAGGGUUAGGGUUAGGGUUGGAGCUAGGGUUAGGGUUAGGGUUAGGGUUGGAGUUAGGGUUAGUGUUGGAGCUAGGGUUAGGGUUGGGCUUGGAGCUAGGACUUUUCUGAGUGCAAUGAACCAACUCCCGAGUCUCUAGGACGUUCCCUAAAAAAUUUGAUUUUUUCCCAUAGGAAUGCAUGGGUUAGGGUUAGGGUUAGGGUUGGAGCUAGGGUUAGGGUUAGGGUUAGGGUUGGAGUUAGGGUUAGUGUUGGAGCUAGGGUUAGGGUUAGGCUUGGAGCUAGGAUUUUUCUGAGUGCACUGAACCAACUCCCGAGUCUCUAGGACAUUCCUAAAAAAAUUAGAUUUUUUCCCAUAGGAAUGCAUGGGUUAGGGUUAUGGUUAGGGUUAGGGUUGGAGCUAGGGUUAGGGUUAGGGUUAGGGUUGGAGUUAGGGUUAGUGUUGGAGCUAGGGUUAGGGUUGGGCUUGGAGCUAGGAUUUUUCUGAGUGCACUGAACCAACUCCCGAGUCUCUAGGACGUUCCUUAAAAAAAUUUGAUUUUUUCCCAUAGGAAUGCAUGGGUUAGGGUUAGGGUUAGGGUUGGAGCUAGGGUUAGGGUUAGGGUUAGGGUUAGGGUUGGAGUUAGGGUUAGUGUUGGAGCUAGGGUUAGGGUUGGGCUUGGAGCUAGGACUUUUCUGAGUGCAAUGAACCAACACCCGAGUCUCUAGGACGUUCCCUAAAAAAAUCUGAUUUUUUCCCAUAGGAAUGCAUGGGUUAGGGUUAGGGUUAGGGUUGGAGCUAGGGUUAGGGUUAGGGUUAGGGUUGGAGUUAGGGUUAGUGUUGGAGCUAGGGUUAGGGUUGGGCUUGGAGCUAGGAUUUUUCUGAGUGCACUGAACCAACUCCCGAGUCUCUAGGACAUUCCUAAAAAAAUUUGAUUUUUUUCCCAUAGGAAUGCAUGGGUUAGGGUUAUGGUUAGGGUUAGGGUUGGAGCUAGGGUUAGGGUUAGGGUUAGGGUUGGAGUUAGGGUUAGUGUUGGAGCUAGGGUUAGGGUUGGGCUUGGAGCUAGGAUUUUUCUGAGUGCAAGGAACCAACUCCCGAGUCUCUUGGACGUUCCUAAAAAAAUUUGAUUUUUUCCCAUAGGAAUGCAUGGGUUAGGGUUAGGGUUAGGGUUGGAGCUAGGGUUAGGGUUAGGGUUAGGGUUGGAGUUAGGGUUAGUGUUGGAGCUAGGGUUAGGGUUGGGCUUGGAGCUAGGAUUUUUCUGAGUGCAAUGAACCAACUCCCGAGUCUCUAGGACGUUCCUAAAAAAAUUUGAUUUUUUCCCAUAGGAAUGCAUGGGUUAGGGUUAGGGUUAGGGUUGGAGCUAGGGUUAGGGUUAGGGUUAGGGUUGGAGUUAGGGUUAGUGUUGGAGCUAGGGUUAGGGUUGGGCUUGGAGCUAGGAUUUUUCUGAGUGCACUGAACCAACUCCCGAGUCUCUAGGACAUUCCUAAAAAAAUUUGAUUUUUUUCCCAUAGGAAUGCAUGGGUUAGGGUUAUGGUUAGGGUUAGGGUUGGAGCUAGGGUUAGGGUUAGGGUUAGGGUUGGAGUUAGGGUUAGUGUUGGAGCUAGGGUUAGGGUUGGGCUUGGAGCUAGGAUUUUUCUGAGUCCACUGAACCAACUCCCGAGUCUCUAGGACAUUCCUAAAAAAAUUUGAUUUUUUCCCAUAGGAAUGCAUGGUUUAGGGUUAUGGUUAGGGUUAGGGUUGGAGCUAGGGUUAGGGUUAGGGUUAGGGUUGGAGUUAGGGUUAGUGUUGGAGCUAGGGUUAGGGUUGGGCUUGGAGCUAGGAUUUUUCUGAGUGCACUGAACCAACUCCCGAGUCUCUAGGACAUUCCUAAAAAAAUUUGAUUUUUUCCCAUAGGAAUGCAUGGGUUAGGGUUAUGGUUAGGGUUAGGGUUGGAGCUAGGGUUAGGGUUAGGGUUAGGGUUGGAGUUAGGGUUAGUGUUGGAGCUAGGGUUAGGGUUGGGCUUGGAGCUAGGAUUUUUCUGAGUGCAAUGAACCAACUCCUGAGUCUCUAGGACGUUCCUAAAAAAAUUUGAUUUUUUCCCAUAGGAAUGCAUGGGUUAGGGUUAGGGUUAGGGUUGGAGCUAGGGUUAGGGUUAGGGUUAGGGUUGGAGUUAGGGUUAGUGUUGGAGCUAGGGUUAGGGUUGGGCUUGGAGCUAGGAUUUUUCUGAGUGCACUGAACCAACUCCCGAGUCUCUAGGACAUUCCUAAAAAAAUUUGAUUUUUUCCCAUAGGAAUGCAUGGGUUAGGGUUAGGGUUAGGGUUAGGGUUGGAGCUAGGGUUAGGGUUAGGGUUAGGGUUGGAGUUAGGGUUAGUGUUGGAGCUAGGGUUAGGGUUGGGCUUGGAGCUAGGAUUUUUCUGAGUGCAAUGAACCAACUCCCGAGUCUCUAGGACGUUCCUAAAAAAAUUUGAUUUUUUCCCAUAGGAAUGCAUGGGUUAGGGUUAGGGUUAGGGUUGGAGCUAGGGUUAGGGUUAGGGUUAGGGUUAGGGUUGGAGUUAGGGUUAGUGUUGGAGCUAGGGUUAGGGUUGGGCUUGGAGCUAGGAUUUUUCUGAGUGCACUGAACCAACUCCCGAGUCUCUAGGACAUUCCUAAAAAAAAUUGAUUUUUUCCCAUAGGAAUGCAUGGUUUAGGGUUAUGGUUAGGGUUAGGGUUGGAGCUAGGGUUAGGGUUAGGGUUAGGGUUGGAGUUAGGGUUAGUGUUGGAGCUAGGGUUAGGGUUGGGCUUGGAGCUAGGACUUUUCUGAGUGCAAUGAACCAACUCCCGAGUCUCUAGGACGUUCCCUAAAAAAAUUUGAUUUUUUCCCAUAGGAAUGCAUGGGUUAGGGUUAGGGUUAGGGUUGGAGCUAGGGUUAGGGUUAGGGUUAGGGUUGGAGUUAGGGUUAAUGUUGGAGCUAGGGUUAGGGUUGGGCUUGGAGCUAGGAUUUUUCUGAGUGCACUGAACCAACUCCCGAGUCUCUAGGACAUUCCUAAAAAAAUUUGAUUUUUUCCCAUAGGAAUGCAUGGGUUAGGGUUAGGGUUAGGGUUAGGGUUGGAGCUAGGGUUAGGGUUAGGGUUAGGGUUGGAGUUAGGGUUAGUGUUGGAGCUAGGGUUAGGGUUGGGCUUGGAGCUAGGAUUUUUCUGAGUGCACUGAACCAACUCCCGAGUCUCUAGGACAUUCCUAAAAAAAUUUGAUUUUUUCCCAUAGGAAUGCAUGGGUUAGGGUUAUGGUUAGGGUUAGGGUUGGAGCUAGGAUUUAGGGUUAGGGUUAGGGUUGGAGUUAGGGUUAGUGUUGGAGCUAGGGUUAGGGUUGGGCUUGGAGCUAGGAUUUUUCUGAGUGCAAUGAACCAACUCCCGAGUCUCUAGGACGUUCCUAAAAAAAUUUGAUUUUUUCCCAUAGGAAUGCAUGGGUUAGGGUUAGGGUUAGGGUUGGAGCUAGGGUUAGGGUUAGGGUUAGGGUUAGGGUUGGAGUUAGGGUUAGUGUUGGAGCUAGGGUUAGGGUUGGGCUUGGAGCUAGGAUUUUUCUGAGUGCACUGAACCAACUCCCGAGUCUCUAGGACAUUCCUAAAAAAAUUUGAUUUUUUCCCAUAGGAAUGCAUGGGUUAGGGUUAGGGUUAGGGUUGGAGCUAGGGUUAGGGUUAGGGUUAGGGUUGGAGUUAGGGUUAGUGUUGGAGCUAGGGUUAGGGUUGGGCUUGGAGCUAGGAUUUUUCUGAGUGCAAUGAACCAACUCCCGAGUCUCUUGGACGUUCCUAAAAAAAUUUGAUUUUUUCCCAUAGGAAUGCAUGGGUUAGGGUUAGGGUUAGGGUUGGAGCUAGGGUUAGGGUUAGGGUUAGGGUUGGAGUUAGGGUUAGUGUUGGAGCUAGGGUUAGGGUUGGGCUUGGAGCUAGGAUUUUUCUGAGUGCAAUGAACCAACUCCCGAGUCUCUAGGACGUUCCUAAAAAAAUUUGAUUUUUUCCCAUAGGAAUGCAUGGGUUAGGGUUAGGGUUAGGGUUGGAGCUAGGGUUAGGGUUAGGGUUAGGGUUGGAGUUAGGGUUAGUGUUGGAGCUAGGGUUAGGGUUGGGCUUGGAGCUAGGAUUUUUCUGAGUGCACUGAACCAACUCCCGAGUCUCUAGGACGUUCCUAAAAAAAUUUGAUUUUUUCCCAUAGGAAUGCAUGGGUUAGGGUUAGGGUUAGGGUUGGAGCUAGGGUUAGGGUUAGGGUUAGGGUUGGAGUUAGGGUUAGUGUUGGAGCUAGGGUUAGGGUUGGGCUUGGAGCUAGGAUUUUUCUGAGUGCACUGAACCAACUCCCGAGUCUCUAGGACAUUCCUAAAAAAAUUUGAUUUUUUCCCAUAGGAAUGCAUGGGUUAGGGUUAGGGUUAGGGUUGGAGCUAGGGUUAGGGUUAGGGUUAGGGUUGGAGUUAGGGUUAGUGUUGGAGCUAGGGUUAGGGUUGGGCUUGGAGCUAGGAUUUUUCUGAGUGCAAUGAACCAACUCCCGAGUCUCUAGGACGUUCCUAAAAAAAUUUGAUUUUUUCCCAUAGGAAUGCAUGGGUUAGGGUUAGGGUUAGGGUUGGAGCUAGGGUUAGGGUUAGGGUUAGGGUUGGAGUUAGGGUUAGUGUUGGAGCUAGGGUUAGGGUUGGGCUUGGAGCUAGGAUUUUUCUGAGUGCACUGAACCAACUCCCGAGUCUCUAGGACAUUCCUAAAAAAAUUAUCUUUUCCCAUAGGAAUGCAUGGGUUAGGGUUAGGGUUAGGGUUAGGGUUGGAGCUAGGGUUAGGGUUAGGGUUAGGGUUCGAGUUAGGGUUAGUGUUGGAGCUAGGGUUAGGGUUGGGCUUGGAGCUAGGAUUUUUCUGAGUGCACUGAACCAACUCCCGAGUCUCUAGGACAUUCCUAAAAAAAUUUGAUUUUUUUCCCAUAGGAAUGCAUGGGUUAGGGUUAGGGUUAGGGUUGGAGCUAGGGUUAGGGUUAGGGUUAGGGUUGGAGUUAGGGUUAGUGUUGGAGCUAGGGUUAGGGUUGGGCUUGGAGCUAGGAUUUUUCUGAGUGCAAUGAACCAACUCCCGAGUCUCUAGGACGUUCCUAAAAAAAUUUGAUUUUUUCCCAUAGGAAUGCAUGGGUUAGGGUUAGGGUUAGGGUUGGAGCUAGGGUUAGGGUUAGGGUUAGGGUUGGAGUUAGGGUUAGUGUUGGAGCUAGGGUUAGGGUUGGGCUUGGAGCUAGGAUUUUUCUGAGUGCAAUGAACCAACUCCCGAGUCUCUAGGACGUUCCUAAAAAAAUUUGAUUUUUUCCCAUAGGAAUGCAUGGGUUAGGGUUAGGGUUAGGGUUGGAGCUAGGGUUAGGGUUAGGGUUAGGGUUGGAGUUAGGGUUAGUGUUGGAGCUAGGGUUAGGGUUGGGCUUGGAGCUAGGAUUUUUCUGAGUGCAAUGAACCAACUCCCGAGUCUCUAGGACAUUCCUAAAAAAAUUUGAUUUUUUCCCAUAGGAAUGCAUGGGUUGGGUUAGGGUUAGGGUUAGGGUUGGAGCUAGGGUUAGGGUUAGGGUUAGGGUUGGAGUUAGGGUUAGUGUUGGAGCUAGGGUUAGGGUUGGGCUUGGAGCUAGGAUUUUUCUGAGUGCAAUGAACCAACUCCCGAGUCUCUAGGACGUUCCUAAAAAAAUUUGAUUUUUUCCCAUAGGAAUGCAUGGGUUAGGGUUAGGGUUAGGGUUGGAGCUAGGGUUAGGGUUAGGGUUAGGGUUGGAGUUAGGGUUAGUGUUGGAGCUAGGGUUAGGGUUGGGCUUGGAGCUAGGAUUUUUCUGAGUGCAAUGAACCAACUCCCGAGUCUCUAGGACGUUCCUAAAAAAAUUUGAUUUUUUCCCAUAGGAAUGCAUGGGUUAGGGUUAGGGUUAGGGUUGGAGCUAGGGUUAGGGUUAGGGUUAGGGUUGGAGUUAGGGUUAGUGUUGGAGCUAGGGUUAGGGUUGGGCUUGGAGCUAGGAUUUUUCUGAGUGCAAUGAACCAACUCCCGAGUCUCUAGGACGUUCCUAAAAAAAUUUGAUUUUUUCCCAUAGGAAUGCAUGGGUUAGGGUUUAGGGUUAGGGUUGGAGCUAGUUAGGGUUAGGGUUAGGGUUAGGGUUAGUGUUGGAGCUAGGGUUAGGGUUGGGCUUGGAGCUAGGAUUUUUCUGAGUGCAAUGAACCAACUCCCGAGUCUCUAGGACGUUCCUAAAAAAAUUUGAUUUUUUCCCAUAGGAAUGCAUGGGUUAGGGUUGGAGCUAGGGUUAGGGUUAGGGUUAGGGUUGGAGUUAGGGUUAGUGUUGGAGCUAGGGUUAGGGUUGGGCUUGGAGCUAGGAUUUUUCUGAGUGCACUGAACCAACUCCCGAGUCUCUAGGACAUUCCUAAAAAAUUUGAUUUUUUCCCAUAGGAAUGCAUGGGUUAGGGUUAGGGUUAGGGUUGGAGCUAGGGUUAGGGUUAGGGUUAGGGUUGGAGUUAGGGUUAGUGUUGGAGCUAGGGUUAGGGUUGGGCUUGGAGCUAGGAUUUUUCUGAGUGCAAUGAACCAACUCCCGAGUCUCUAGGACGUUCCUAAAAAAAUUUGAUUUUUUCCCAUAGGAAUGCAUGGGUUAGGGUUAGGGUUAGGGUUGGAGCUAGGGUUAGGGUUAGGGUUAGGGUUGGAGUUAGGGUUAGUGUUGGAGCUAGGGUUAGGGUUGGGCUUGGAGCUAGGAUUUUUCUGAGUGCAAUGAACCAACUCCCGAGUCUCUAGGACGUUCCUAAAAAAAUUUGAUUUUUUCCCAUAGGAAUGCAUGGGUUAGGGUUAGGGUUAGGGUUGGAGCUAGGGUUAGGGUUAGGGUUAGGGUUGGAGUCAGGGUUGGAGCUAGGGUUAGGGUUGGGCUUGGAGCUAGGAUUUUUCUGAGUGCAAUGAACCAACUCCCGAGUCUCUAGGACGUUCCUAAAAAAAUUUGAUUUUUUCCCAUAGGAAUGCAUGGGUUAGGGUUAGGGUUAGGGUUGGAGCUAGGGUUAGGGUUAGGGUUAGGGUUGGAGUUAGGGUUAGUGUUGGAGCUAGGGUUAGGGUUGGGCUUGGAGCUAGGAUUUUUCUGAGUGCAAUGAACCAACUCCCGAGUCUCUAGGACGUUCCUAAAAAAAUUUGAUUUUUUCCCAUAGGAAUGCAUGGGUUAGGGUUAGGGUUAGGGUUGGAGCUAGGGUUAGGGUUAGGGUUAGGGUUGGAGUUAGGGUUAGUGUUGGAGCUAGGGUUAGGGUUGGGCUUGGAGCUAGGAUUUUUCUGAGUGCAAUGAACCAACUCCCGAGUCUCUAGGACGUUCCUAAAAAAAUUUGAUUUUUCCCAUAGGAAUGCAUGGGUUAGGGUUUGGGUUAGGGUUGGAGCUAGGGUUAGGGUUAGGGUUAGGGAGUUAGGGUUAGUGUUGGAGCUAGGGUUAGGGUUGGGCUUGGAGCUAGGAUUUUUCUGAGUGCAAUGAACCAACUCCCGAGUCUCUAGGACGUUCCUAAAAAAAUUUGAUUUUUUCCCAUAGGAAUGCAUGGGUUAGGGUUAGGGUUAGGGUUGGAGCUAGGGUUAGGGUUAGGGUUAGGGUUGGAGUUAGGGUUAGUGUUGGAGCUAGGGUUAGGGUUGGGCUUGGAGCUAGGAUUUUUCUGAGUGCAAUGAACCAACUCCCGAGUCUCUAGGACGUUCCUAAAAAAAUUUGAUUUUUUCCCAUAGGAAUGCAUGGGUUAGGGUUUGGGUUAGGGUUGGAGCUAGGGUUAGGGUUAGGGUUAGGGUUGGAGUAAGGGUUAGUGUUGGAGCUAGGGUUAGGGUUGGGCUUGGAGCUAGGAUUUUUCUGAGUGCAAUGAACCAACUCCCGAGUCUCUAGGACGUUCCUAAAAAAAUUUGAUUUUUUUCCCAUAGGAAUGCAUGGGUUAGGGUUAGGGUUAGGGUUGGAGCUAGGGUUAGGGUUAGGGUUAGGGUUGGAGUUAGGGUUAGUGUUGGAGCUAGGGUUAGUGUUGGGCUUGGAGCUAGGAUUUUUCUGAGUGCAAUGAACCAACUCCCGAGUCUCUAGGACGUUCCUAAAAAAAUUUGAUUUUUUCCCAUAGGAAUGCAUGGGUUAGGGUUAGGGUUAGGGUUGGAGCUAGGGUUAGGGUUAGGGUUAGGGUUGGAGUUAGGGUUGGAGCUAGGGUUAGGGUUGGGCUUGGAGCUAGGAUUUUUCUGAGUGCAAUGAACCAACUCCCGAGUCUCUAGGACGUUCCUAAAAAAAUUUGAUUUUUUCCCAUAGGAAUGCAUGGGUUAGGGUUAGGGUUAGGGUUGGAGCUAGGGUUAGGGUUAGGGUUAGGGUUGGAGUUAGGGUUAGUUGUUGGAGCUAGGGUUAGGGUUGGGCUUGGAGCUAGGAUUUUUCUGAGUGCAAUGAACCAACUCCCGAGUCUCUAGGACGUUCCUAAAAAAAUUUGGAUUUUUUCCCAUAGGAAUGCAUGGGUUAGGGUUAGGGUUAGGGUUGGAGCUAGGGUUAGGGUUAGGGUUAGGGUUGGAGUUAGGGUUAGUGUUGGAGCUAGGGUUAGGGUUGGGCUUGGAGCUAGGAUUUUUCUGAGUGCAAUGAACCAACUCCCGAGUCUCUAGGAUGUUCCUAAAAAAAUUUGAUUUUUUCCCAUAGGAAUGCAUGGGUUAGGGUUAGGGUUAGGGUUGGAGCUAGGGUUAGGGUUAGGGUUAGGGUUGGAGUUAGGGUUAGUGUUGGAGCUAGGGUUAGGGUUGGGCUUGGAGCUAGGAUUUUUCUGAGUGCAAUGAACCAACUCCCGAGUCUCUAGGACGUUCCUAAAAAAAUUUGAUUUUUUCCCAUAGGAAUGCAUGGGUUAGGGUUAGGGUUAGGGUUGGAGCUAGGGAUAGGGUUAGGGUUAGGGUUGGAGUUAGGGUUAGUGUUGGAGCUAGGGUUAGGUGUGGGCUUGGAGCUAGGAUUUUUCUGAGUGCAAUGAACCAACUCCGGAGUCUCUAGGACGUUCCUAAAAAAAUUUGAUUUUUUCCCAUAGGAAUGCAUGGGUUAGGGUUAGGGUUAGGGUUGGAGCUAGGGUUAGGGUUAGGGUUAGGGUUGGAGUUAGGGUUGGAGCUAGGGUUAGGGUUGGGCUUGGAGCUAGGAUUUUUCUGAGUGCAAUGAACCAACUCCCGAGUCUCUAGGACGUUCCUAAAAAAAUUGGAUUUUUUCCCAUAGGAAUGCAUGGGUUAGGGUUAGGGUUAGGGUUGGAGCUAGGGUUAGGGUUAGGGUUAGGGUUGGAGUUAGGGUUAGUGUUGGAGCUAGGGUUAGGGUUGGGCUUGGAGCUAGGAUUUUUCUGAGUGCAAUGAACCAACUCCCGAGUCUCUAGGACGUUCCUAAAAAAAUUUGAUUUUUUCCCAUAGGAAUGCAUGGGUUAGGGUUAGGGUUAGGGUUGGAGCUAGGGUUAGGGUUAGGGUUAGGGUUGGAGUUAGGGUUAGUGUUGGAGCUAGGGUUAGGGUUGGGCUUGGAGCUAGGAUUUUUCUGAGUGCAAUGAACCAACUCCCGAGUCUCUAGGACGUUCCUAAAAAAAUUUGAUUUUUUCCCAUAGGAAUGCAUGGGUUAGGGUUAGGGUUAGGGUUGGAGCUAGGGUUAGGGUUAGGGUUAGGGUUGGAGUUAGGGUUAGUGUUGGAGCUAGGGUUAGGGUUGGGCUUGGAGCUAGGAUUUUUCUGAGUGCAAUGAACCAACUCCCGAGUCUCUAGGACGUUCCUAAAAAAAUUUGAUUUUUUCCCAUAGGAAUGCAUGGGUUAGGGUUAGGGUUAGGGUUGGAGCUAGGGUUAGGGUUAGGGUUAGGGUUGGAGUUAGGGUUAGUGUUGGAGCUAGGGUUAGGGUUGGGCUUGGAGCUAGGAUUUUUCUGAGUGCAAUGAACCAACUCCCGAGUCUCUAGGACGUUCCUAAAAAAAUUUGAUUUUUUCCCAUAGGAAUGCAUGGGUUAGGGUUUGGGUUAGGGUUGGAGCUAGGGUUAGGGUUAGGGUUAGUGUUGGAGCUAGGGUUAGGGUUGGGCUUGGAGCUAGGAUUUUUCUGAGUGCAAUGAACCAACUCCCGAGUCUCUAGGACGUUCCUAAAAAAAUUGGAUUUUUUUCCAUAGGAAUGCAUGAGUUAGGGUUAGGGUUAGGGUUGGAGCUAGGGUUAGGGUUGGAGUUAGGGUUAGUGUUGGAGCUAGGGUUAGGGUUGGGCUUGGAGCUAGGAUUUUUCUGAGUGCAAUGAACCAACUCCCGAGUCUCUAGGACGUUCCUAAAAAAAAUUGAUUUUUUUCCAUAGGAAUGCAUGGGUUAGGGUAAGGGUUAAGGUUGGAGCUAGGGUUAGGGAUAGGGUUAGGUUUAGGGUGGAGCUAGGGUUAGGGUUAGGGUUAGAGCUAGGGUUAGGGUUAGGGUUAGGGUUAAGAUUGGAGCUAGGGUUAGGGUUAGGGUUGGAGCCAGGGUUAGGGUUAGGGUUAGGGUUGGAGUUGGAGUUAGGGUUAGUGUUGGAGUUAGGGUUAGGGUUGGGCUUGGAGCUAGGAUUUUUCUGAGUGCAAUGAACCAACUCCGGAGUCUCUAGGACGUUCCUAAAAAAAUUUGAUUUUUUCCCAUAGGAAUGCAUGGGAAAAAAAAAAAUGAAAAAUUUUGUAAGUGCCAACCCAAUUUUUCACCUUCCAGAAUUGUGUUAGGAGCACGUUUCAGGGCACGGGGAGUCUAUAGAACCUAAUUCUGGGGGAAGUUUUUUUAAAAGUUUACUUAGGGUUUGGGUUAGGGUUAGGGUUGGAGCUAGGGUUAGGGUUAGGGUUAAGGUUGGAGCUAGGGUUAGGGUUAGGGUUAGGGUUAGGGUUGGAGCUAGGGUUAGGGUUAGGGUUAGAGCUAGGGUUAGGGUUAGGGUUGGGGCUAGGGUUAGGGUUAGGGUUGGAGUUGGAGUUAGGGUUAGUGUUGGAGCUAGGGUUAGGGUUGGGCUUGGAGCUAGGAUUUUUCUGAGUGCAAUGAACCAACUCCCGAGUCUCUAGGACGUUCCUAAAAAAAUUUGAUUUUUUCCCAUAGGAAUGCAUGGGAAAUAAAAAUUGAAAAAUUUUGUAAGUGCCAACCCAAUUUUUCACCUUCCAGAAUUGUGUUAGGAGCACGUUUCAGGGCACGGGGAGUCUAUAGAACCUAAUUCUGGGGGAAGUUUUUUGAAAAGUUUACUUAGGGUUUGGGUUAGGGUUAGGGUUGGAGCUAGGGUUAGGGUUAGGGUUAAGGUUGGAGCUAGGGUUAGGGUUAGGGUUAGGGUUAGGGUUGGAGCUAGGGUUAGAGCUAGGGUUAGGGUUAGGGUUGGGGCUAGGGUUAGGGUUAGGGUUAAUUAAUGAGAUGUGACAUAGACUCAAGAGCUGUAUGCAAAGAUUGUUUAACAAAAGUACUCCUCACAGGGAAAAGUUGGAGCAACUUCUCCUGUUCUUUCUUCCAGCUGAGCGCAGUUCGAACUUCGACUCUUGAUCAUUUUGCUCACUUGCCUAAUCAGACUCUUUGUAAUUGCAGCAGGCAAAGUGGGAACUAGUGGCAGUGGGGGUGUGACAGAGGCCUGGCAGGACAGAUAGAGAUAGCACAGGGGAUGGGAAAGCCUCAUGAGGCCUUCAGGUUGAGCCCCCUCUACAGCGGGAUCAGGCUGUGAGGUUUUCAUACCGACUGUGCCAGCUAAUACAUCUAGAGGCUUUUGAAAUAUUCUGAAGCAGAAGAAGUUCAGACCUGAAAUGGCACUGGAUCAGAGACAAAAUUAUACCGGAAUGUCAUGGGAAGUGCAGACAUUUUACGUAAGGGAAAGUGUCAAUUAAAAAAGUAAGCAGGACUUAAUAACUUUUGUUAAAAAAUGCCACAAACAUGAUGAUGUUUUUCACCACAAAAACCGUGAUUAAUAAUUGUUUGUUUUCUGACUUAUGAAGCAACCCUGAUCCCAUGAGCACAACAAACAAAAUUGUAUUUUGAAGCAGGAAGUAACAAGCAGCAAUGGGAAACAGGGCAUCUUGUUACCCUUGAAAUUACUUUUCUAGCUGUGCUCACUUCAUAAGAAAUAAUAUACUAAUACUUUUUGGCACCACUGUGUAAUCGAUUCUGGUUAUGCAUCCCAUCCCGAAGAGGAGCUGUCUGCACCUCCACUUCGUGCUGAUGUGAUCUGUAUGCUGUUAUGUUGACAAACUUCAGUUCUGUCCACAUAAGCUGGGAGGGAAAUGCUCCUUUUAUAGUUGAUGAUGAAGCCCAUACAAGAUAAAUGUUAUUAAAGCUCCCUAGGAUUGAAUGCAUGUCUCUCUAUCUGCUGAGAAGAAGCACGAGAAACAUGUGGAUAAACAGCAACUUCAUUCCAGUCUUGUGUCUUAUGGCUCGAGACUGACUUUUCAGGCUAUUAUAUGUCUGAACUGGGUCAUUCAUGUUAUGACAAGGCUACGAUGAUUUAUUAAUUAGCUGUAGGCUUCGUAUGUGUGCAGUUUCAUUAGCUUUUGCUAUAAUAGGUUCAAACACACUAUCUUCAAUGUCAUGCUCUGUUGCACUCAUUAUUGCCAUGAUUCAACUUCUCCACUGAGACAUGGGCUCGCUGUGUGGCCUACUGGCUAUUCUGUCACAAUGUUAUUAGCACAGAGGUCUCAUGUCUAAUUUGUCUAAUGUUUGUGAAUUGGGAAUAUUUUACUUGAAGCUCAUUUCAUGAAAUAAUUUUGACCUGAAUGUGCGCACAUCAGCUGAUUCGGGUACAACAGAGAACCAUGAAGCUGGUGACUUUGAAGCAGUUUGUAUUUCUUCCAGAAUUAGACAAUUUCUUUUGUUUCAUUGUGUCAGUUCAGCUCAAACCUUACUGACAAUUACAUUUUUUUUAAAUACCAACAAAGUACUCUGGGAUACCUUUUUGGACAAGUAAGUUGCAGAAGUCAAACAAUCUUAGAAUACUGUGUUUGAAGCCAGCAAGUUGAACAAAAAAAAUCCAACUAAAGGAGUCCAGGCACAGACUCAUGAAAAAUCAAUGUAGGCCAUCAUGACUCUCUGUAGCUCAGAGGUUACAGAGUAAGUCUACUUCACAAUUCAGGGUUCACUGAGACUUAAAAGUACAAACGGAGAGUCUCCCCCUACGAAAGAGGAUUAGGGCCACAUGAAGCCAAGGACCCAAUGCGCUCUGGCACAUGGAUGGCUAUGACAAAUUUAAGCUAUAUGGCAUUUCAUUUCAACUUUAAUCUUGAAAUUUCAACUUUAAUCUUGAAAUGGAAAUCAAAAAAAUCACCCUCCUGUAAUUAUUUUUUCCCCUUCAUGUGGCCCUUAUUCCUCCUUCCCCCCAGAAUAUUUCAGGUGUCAAACACUAAACUUCAAGCAAAUGGUGAACAUCUAUGCAGUUUGUGAUGGACAGUCAAUAUCUUAAAGAAAAAAAAAUACACAAUAUUGAUGAUAUUGAAAAAUAUGAGUACUUUCUGCACACAUUUUAUUUAUUCAUUUAUUUAUUUGAUUAGAACAAUGCACAUUGAUCAACCUAUUAACAUAAGCAUCAAAGUAACUAUGCCAGAGUUAGCAUACAGACAAUAUACUGGAUACAACAUGUACUGUUUAUAUACACAUGUCUAUAUACACAUUUUGUAGUAAAUCUGAUCUCUCUCUUAAAGGGACAGGUAUCUCAAAUGAUCAAUCUCCUUUAUGUUGCAAGGACAUCAUUGCUCUAAUGAUCCCACUGUGAUUCCUAUUUAAAUGAGCACAGCUGUUCUCUCUGGUAAGUUAUAUGCAGCUAUUGAAAAAAUGUCAAUCUGUUUAUCUGCAAAUGUCAUGUUAGCUGUUGCAAAUAUUGUGCAGCUUUAGGAUAAAAAGAGCCCAUAAGUAUGUUCUUAAAUCAUCAUGUGGUUGCUAUAGUGAUGCAGAUUCAUAUGAUUUUCUCAUUUAUCAAGAACAGUUUCGCUGUACUGCACAAAAACAGAAUAAGUAUGUGAGAAGACGUGAUUCUUGUUUCUUUACAUUUAUACAUUGAGAGUCAGUAUGGAUAUAUGUGGUGAGUCAGGUGUAGAUUUCUUUGUUGACAUCAAGAUUAACGAUGAAGCCUACAUGAAAUCCAUAUUCACACUGGCAACCAUCUUGACUCUAUGGAUAAAAAAAUCUGUGCUCCCAUCUGUGCAUGGAAGAAAAAGCAAACAUGGUUGGAUUAAUCACUUGCACUUUCUUUUCAUGCAAAGCAUUGUUUUAACCUACAGGUGGAGGUAACAGUCAUGAUGCUAAGACAGGUUUACAACAGCACUCUGUAGGUGUUGUGAUGUUCUUUGAGUCAUUCUCGUUGUAUCCACAGAUUCAGGAACUUUCCAGUCGGAUGUCAGGAGCAGUGCUGUUUUGUGUUUCGCUGAGAGUUGGCUGCACCCUGUAGUGCCAAGCUGUUUUAGUAUUGUUGUUGUGUUGUGCUGGCAGAACAGACGGCUGGUGAGAAAAACAGAGAUGUCUGACAGUAUUACAAAGACUUAAACUGCUGUCAUCCUGAUUAUGGGCUCAUUGAUGCUGGAAAAUAUAUAAAAACAGCUGAGAGAGUAAUAAUUUAUUGUAACUGUUUUAUGGCUGAUAAACAAAAUCUGCAUCUAACUUAAUAAAUUUGCAAACUGUGAAAGAACUGAGGCAAAAAAAAUAGUUACAAAAGGCUCAUGAGUUAAGACUCAGUGAUAUGGCAUUCAGCCAAACCCCCCAUGUAACCCUCCGGUGUUAUUCUUUUGUUAAUUGUAGUACCACCUGCCCUGUUCCAAACCUCUCCCAGCAUCAGGUAUUCAGGUGUGAGCUAAUUUGUCAAGGAAAUUAGUCACAUGUAUCUGAGUAGUUUGGCAGAAAGGUUAUAGUUGGUUUGUUAGAGGGGGUUUGCUGCUAUUUCUUGCUGUGUACUGACCUGAUAGACCCCAGCUCCGGCUGGUAUCAGAAGUGUUUGGUAGUACAGCUCCAGCUCCUUAGUUCAGCCUUAUAUUGUUUUAGGGAGGUGUAAAAACAUGUCAGAAAGGUGCACCGAAGUGAUGCUAAUAAAAAAUGUUGCUAAUAAAAAGGGAGUUCUUUGGGAGGACUGUUUGUUUUUGUCUUGUCUAACAUUUGGGCUGGUCUAGUUAGUUACUAAAUCCCCUUAGCAUCCACUCUUGGGUGUUUUGAUUCUUUCUCACACAAAGUGGGUUUUAUUUUUCUAGUGUCUGGUUAUUUUGCUAUUAUUUUCUUCUUGCUAAUACAUAGGAAGGUAUUUCUUAGCACCCUUUGAACACCCCUUUAGUGAGGUUUUUCUUCCUUUCUCAGUCACAGGGUAUCAGUCCAUAGAACUCUUUCUUCCAA